AGACAUCGAACCUUGAGAGUGAAAGGCGAUUGCCUUCUGAAUGUGGUAGAUUCGGGUAGCGGUGUCAGCAAAAAUCACUGAGAAAGCAAGGUCAGGCGUGACCGAUUGGACGAACCAGGAUAAUAUCAUCUUGUUGCAGCGAUCCCAUAAAGCAUACUAAGUGGGUUUCUUGUCUGGAGAUGGUCCUUUCAACAUUCCAUCUAUGAAACUAAUCUUAUUCUUGGCGAUAAAGGCGAUGUGGACGACCCAACUCCAGGUAGCAUAAUUUUCCCCAUUCAAUGGUUGGGAAACUAAGGAAUUGUUUGGGUUAUCAGAAUGAUGAAUAUAGUAUGGACUUGAAACGUUUGAAGCUGAAUUGGUGCUAUCGUUUCCAGCCAUGUUGAAAUCUGGAAAACGAGAAUGAAAAUGCUAUGGAAGCCGUGUAAAGUUGAAGAGGCUAUGAAGAGAAAAGCCUACAAUAGGUACACUGCCAGUGAAUGGAGGAACAAGUUCAACGCAUACAUAUCGAACUUAAGCAGAGGACGUCGGUAGUAGAACCAAGUUGUCAGGCCAACCAAGUCCGC
rnacentral:sRNA from 1 species